AGGUCGCUCCGCCUCGGUGGUGGUCACGCCCGGCCAGCUGUGGCAGCAUCCCUGUCGGCUAGCUCGGGUCUGGCCCACGGUGACUGUUACCCCUGGGGAAUGGGGCAGCUCUGAUCCAUCCAACGCUGCUGCACUGGAGACUGGGUCAGAAAUCAGGAGUGAGGACUUGUUGAAAGAAAUAGGAAGGAAUCAGGAGAUCACAUAAA